rnacentral:rRNA from 1 species
UACGGAGGGUGCAAGCGUUAUCCGGAUUCACUGGGUUUAAAGGGUGCGUAGGCGGAUAUGUAAGUCCGUGGUGAAAUCUCUGGGCUUAACCCGGAAACUGCCAUGGAUACUAUGUGUCUUGAAUGUUGUUGAGGUGAGCGGAAUAUGUCAUGUAGCGGUGAAAUGCUUAGAGAUGACAUAGAACACCAAUUGCGAAGGCAGCUUACUAAACGAUUAUUGACGCUGAGGCACGAAAGCGUGGGGAUCAAACAGG